rnacentral:rRNA from 1 species
GAGUUUGAUCCUGGCUCAGGACGAACGCUGGCGGCGUGCCUAAUACAUGCAAGUAGAACGCUGAAGACUUUAGCUUGCUAAAGUUGGAAGAGUUGCGAACGGGUGAGUAACGCGUAGGUAACCUGCCUACUAGCGGGGGAUAACCAUUGGAAACGAUAGCUAAUACCGCAUAACAGCAUUUAACCCAUGUUAGAUGCUUGAAAGGAGCAAUUGCUUCACUAGUAGAUGGACCUGCGUUGUAUUAGCUAGUUGGUGAGGUAACGGCUCACCAAGGCGACGAUACAUAGCCGACCUGAGAGGGUGAUCGGCCACACUGGGACUGAGACACGGCCCAGACUCCUACGGGAGGCAGCAGUAGGGAAUCUUCGGCAAUGGGGGCAACCCUGACCGAGCAACGCCGCGUGAGUGAAGAAGGUUUUCGGAUCGUAAAGCUCUGUUGUUAGAGAAGAACGUGUGUGAGAGUGGAAAGUUCACACAGUGACGGUAACUAACCAGAAAGGGACGGCUAACUACGUGCCAGCAGCCGCGGUAAUACGUAGGUCCCGAGCGUUGUCCGGAUUUAUUGGGCGUAAAGCGAGCGCAGGCGGUUCUGUAAGUCUGAAGUUAAAGGCAGUGGCUUAACCAUUGUACGCUUUGGAAACUGCAGGACUUGAGUGCAGAAGGGGAGAGUGGAAUUCCAUGUGUAGCGGUGAAAUGCGUAGA